ACGAGGGUAUGUCAUGUCUUGCAUGUGGACAGACCCUGACAGCAUGACGUCAUCUGACCCAUCAGUUGAAGAAAGCUGCAUUCCAUUUCUGUAUGCAGGCAAGCUGUUUCCCACACAAGCUACUGCCGAAAUUGCUUGCGAAUGUGAAUCGCUUCCUGAUAAAGCCCCUCAAGACUUGAGUACGGAAUAUGUCAGCGCACACAAAGAGAAGCAAGUGGAAAAUAAAGCCGGAAGUACAACAGCUGUAGUGCUCACACCGCUUCCAGAGCUUUCACUGAUUGGGUCGACCCCUAAGGCAUCGUCCGAAGAAAUUCGUUCAAGUGAGACUGAGCGACCUGUUUGCAAAUUCACCGAUCGAGAUGACGCGUUACAAUGGCCCGCCCGUCUUUACACUACAGAGCGUCGUAGCACUAGGCUGGGAGAAGCUGCCGCCCUUUUCGAUGCUCCUUCAGACGUAGUGCACACUGGGCACAGCAGAAUCAAAGUACAGAACAAAGAGAUGACCGAGCAGGUAAGACAGGCCGAGGAGCAGAAGGGUGGUUACGAAGAAGUUUCUGGAAGGAAAAUGUACGACACAGCUAUGCAAGAAGGCACCGCUCCCCCACCAGUAAGCGAGGCGCUUAUAAAGCCCCAAAUAGCUCCUAUUACGUACGGCGCCGAACAAGAAGAGCGGGUCAGUCAACCGACAAAUGAUCAGCCCCGCGUAGAUAGCAGCCUCCUACAGUACACCCCUGACGAGUACAUCCUGGCUGAGUUAGUUCGUGAAGUGGAAAAGAAGAUCGAAGCUAGCUCUCGUUACCACGUCGAACCUCUCCCUGAUGACGUACUUACGAUACGAUCAUCCAAAGGAAUCGAGUCUCUUGGCCGGCUAAGGUACGAGACAUAUGAAGAGGAGCUCCUCAUGCGACGCAGUGAGGACGAUCUGUCUCAAGAACAGGAAAGGUCAACAGCAGAAGCACUUGAACAACCUGCGACCGCAGUGCAACAAGCUGUCAUGAGCCUUGACCAGGAGGGAUAUGCGGGGGUCCUUGAAGAAUAUUAUGAACGUAUUGAGAAAAGACAACCAGAACCAGAGCCAGAAGAGCCGACCAAAGCAGGCGCACAGCCUUCAGUAGAUAUUGGUGAAGAAAUCAAGGCGAAAGUUGAAGAGCACAAAUCCGCAGUUACCACAAAGGCGCAAGAAAAACACCGUGUUCUCGCGGAAGAACACGACCAAUGGGAAGGUAAAGAUGCUGAAAGCAAAGAGGUGGAUGGCAAGGAAAUUUUCUCCGAAAGGCCAUAUGAUGCUAUUCGAGAAGAAAGACAUAGACAGUUCGAGCAGCGUUGGAAUGAUGUGCCUGUUUCAAUAGAAAGAGAAGGGAGAACAGCAUCAGUACAGGACAAGGGAACGCUUGAAAUAGCCCAGAGGACCACUUUGACGACAGAUCAAGGCGAAACUAAAGAACUUCAAGACAAAGUUCUUGUGAAGAAACAUAUAGGUGAACGGACGUCUGCAAAUGCGGUGAGGCGCUUCAUAGCGGCAGCCAUCGAAGAAGCGGCAAAGCGCGAAGAAACUACCAAAUCCGUUAAGCGAUUUAGGGAGUACCCCUGCUCGGAAGAGGCGCCCGCGAGGAUACGUUCGGGGUCACCAUACACUUCUGCAACUGACUUAGCUUCCCGCAAAGAAGAGGAACGCCGUCUUGCCGACAAAAAGGUGCAGCAAGAGAAAGCCAUACCACAGCCUGUGCGUUGCAAGUCCAUUGCAGAGUUAAUUGAAAAAAUCAUUCAGCAGCACGUCAGUGGAACCGACAUCCACAAACAAGGCAUGGUGCAUCAGAAACAGGUGCAGGCACAGGACUUCACAAGCGCGCAAGCUCCAAGUUUCCCGCCCAACAUGGGACAACAGGAAAUACCUGUCUAUUACCAGACGGGGACGGUUAGCCAAAAGCCAGGUGAUCAGUACGUCAACGACUAUCGUUGCUCUUUGCAAGGCGCUCCACGGAAGAGCGACACCCAGUUGGAGAGAACUUCCCAUACGGACCGCCGGUUCUCGUUCUCAGCGUUGGGCGGCCGCGGCGCCAAAUGUGUAAUUCGAAAACUUGAACCUGGAGCUUUAACUUACCUAGUAGAAGUAGCGCCCGCAGAUAAAAACCAAGAAAAUCAAACCGACAUGGUCAUGGCCGAAGAGCAAAUGCUGGUCAGCGAAAUUUUCGACCAUAUAACAACACCUAAUUUGCGUGUGUCUUCCUCAGGCACUAGGCUCAACGAACCGGCACCAAUCACUGUUUCACCUGCUGAGAGCUUAACUGCCAUAAGGAACGCUUAUGCAGAGGCCGUUGCUUGGCGUGUAUUGCGCAAGCAAUCGCCUCAGGGCACCGAGGGUGUCCUUUCCGACGCGCAGAAGGCGAAAUUUUACGAGAAUAGACAGGGUAUGAACGUUGAAAAGACUGCCUCGUCGACGUCGUCGCAGAGCGCACCUUCUGUGGAAGACUAUUUCGUACAAAGAAUGCUCGAUUCAGGCAUAAUAAGAAACCAGGCGGAACUACGGGGCAAGAAGCCACUUAAUCUCGAGAAUAGAGUCGUCUCGCGAACGUUGUCAACGGGCACAUUCUCCAAGGCGGGCGCGUCGUCUGAAGCGAUUGCUGCGCCACCUCCGACACCAUCACGUAACGUGGAGCACGGAGAGAAUGUCGAAGGAGGAGCGGAGUAUUGCUUAGGCGCGGCCCAGGACUCGACAGCACAGGCCACUGAAAAAGAAGAGGCCCCGCGGGACGCUGCAUUCGAAGAGGCGAGAAACGUGACUGCCGCAGCGUCGAAUUUUGUCGGAAAUGAGAAGCAGGCGAUGGCAGCAACUUCGGCAGAAAGCUACGAAGAGAAACGUUCGUCGACUUUCGCGUCGAGCGAGAGGUCCACUCGGGAACCUCGGAGGACAGCCACAGUGAAAGCGACUACGACGUCAGAAGAGCAGCGCUUUGUGGCCGAGCAGCCCUCCGCAGCCAGCUUGAAAAGCACCGUUCGCAUCGGUUCGGGGGAGUGCACAUUGUGUAGGAACCGCAUUUCUCCGGAAAAAUCGUUCGAGUCAUUCAUCUGCUUUGGCCUUCAUGAUCUGCCCAACUACUUUGCGACCCUUCCUUCUGAAGUGCGUGACACUGUCAAGCUGAGAAUUGCCACCGACGACGACGUGAGAGAGAUCAUGUAUCUGCCUUGGAAAGAACCGGAAUCCACGUACACUCUGCACGCCGCAAUAGUCACGAGGCACAUGCUUUGCCCAAGUAGCUUCUUCGUCGCCGUCGACACCUCACGAGAUUCCGUACACCCGGUGCAGAAAUUGGGCUACCGGCUGUACUGCAAUUGCCAGGCUAGACCUGAUGGCCAGCCAUGAAGCCACGUGCGGCUUUCGACAAGUUCGUUGCCUCCACAAGAGCUGCGGCUGGGUCCACCGCUUGAACCAGCUGGCCGGUCACCUGACGGAGCAACACGUCAGCGUGAUUGAAGUGCAGGAGGGAACUGCGGAUGUUUUCUUGAAGACCACACAAGUAAAGACCACAUCACGCGCAUCCUUCUGCUGCUGCAUGAGGACCACGUCUUAGGCGUGGUCUUUCAGCGCACCGGUCAAUUUCACACCGAAGCCACUCUAAAUGCCUUGAGCCUGACACCUAGUUCUGACCCAUACGAAUUCGAGAUCAUUCUUCGGGGUCCAGCGGGCACAAAUUCCUGGUGCUCCAGGGUUUUUGCUCCUGAUGCAGGCCAAGACACCGCUAUUGGCUUCACCGAACCAUUUCUCCAUAGAAUGGCUCUUGAAGGCUGCCUCCGCAUGGAAAUAAAAUUGACGAAAUCUGGCAUUUAAAAAGGACGAAGGUAUUUCGUGUCUUGCAUAUGGACAGACACCUGACAGCGUGACGUGGACUGACCCCUCAUUUGAAGAAAGCUGCGUUCCAUCGCCCUCUUUUCUCAAGUGGUAUCAUUUCUGCCUGCAGGCAAGAUGUUUCCCUAUUGCAAAAACCAGCGUCUUCCAGUGCCUUCCAGUGUGAAACCAGCGCUUUUUUUGAAACUGGAUCGCAAUGGGUACCCUGGCGCUCGCUGGGACUCAUUGGAACAUCAGUGAGAACGCUGGAUAAGAGUUGAGUCACACUGGAAGAGACGCUGAUUCCACUGCCAUGACGCUGGGGCGCAUUGGCUUGUGCUGUACAGGCGCUGGUUCUCGCUGCAGUUCUGAAUAUAAA